rnacentral:lncRNA from 1 species
GUGUUAUGUAAGACACUGCCUCGAUAAAUGAAUAAAUAAGGCCUUCAGGUCAUAUGUGAAGAAUGCCCCAUGCCCUCCAGAGACAACCCCAGAGUCUAAACUACCUUUCAUACGCACACAGAGAGGCCACGUAUGAAGAUGUAAACGGUUAGAGCAAAGCAAUAGUAAAUCAAAGUGUGAGGCGUAAUAGUCUCUCACACGGCGUGAGGAUGCUCUGAUUGCUGCAGAAAUACCACAUGACUGAGAGCAGUAAGGGGGGAGAACAAGGAAGCCGCCCGUGGCCGCGCUGUGCAAUGCGUAUCUUUGGGAUCGGCUUUGGUUUGCCUUUGAAUGGAGGGGAGAGGGAAAUGGCAUGCACACGAUAGAUGACUUGAAUUGUGUCAUUCAAGCAGUGUGUUCGUGUUACUGUCAGUGAAAGGACACAAGCCUAACUCAUCAAAUUCCUUCUUUUCCCCCAUAUCUCAUCUGACCCAAACCCUUCUCAAUUUUCAUCACCCAAAUUUGUUUACAUCAGUUGAGAAAAACAACUGAUCAAGUCAGUAAACUUUUUACAGCCUACGAGAAGCAUUUACUACUUAGAAACAUUUCUAUCUAUUUUCUAUAUCUGUGAAUACUGCGUAUCUAAUCUAACCUAAGAAUUGUGUUUUAAGAAAAGCGCAAUGAUGCUACCUUAUGAUGCUCAAUGUUUAAAAUCUUGGGAUUUCAUUUUCAAGCUGAAAUAGGUAACAGAAAAACUUAACCUUAAAUGUUUACAUUGAAUUUCUAAAUUAAUACCAAUUCCAAAUUAAGUGAUCUAUGCUCAAUUAAAGGCCAUGGGGAAUUUGAAACUUAUUGGCAUUCUAUGAGAUACUAUUUCUGUGGCAUAGUGAAUAAUACACAGACUAUUCUGCCAUGUAGUAAGCCUUCAGUGUAGUCUUUCUCUGCAUUGCCUUUUGGAAUAAAACUAUGUAUCCUAACCAUGUAUCCUACUGAAAUGUUAAUUCACAGAUGACCUAUAAUUUGCCAAGUACUGAGCUUAAGGUAGUGCGUUUAUACUUUAUUGAAGGCUCGCCUUCCUUUUUCACAUUAUUAACCUGUAUUUACAUUUGUGUAGUUUUAAACUAUGUUUCCAAAUAAACUUUGUCUGUGGCUUCAUGGUCUUUUCAGAACUCUCUCAAGAAGGGAUUUGGGGUCAGACCACUUAAAGUCAAACAGAAACCAAUUACUACUGCUUUAAGAAGCCUUUCUGUCGAAUAUCACAACAUAUAAUUUUGCAUGAAUUAUCUGGAAAGCAGGAAUGCAUUUGUAGACAAAGAAAACACCUUGAAAACCAUUUUCCUUUGUUAAUUUUUUAAGACUAAAAUAUUAACCUGAAAUCGAAAUUUGUGAUCUUUUUAGAAUAAAAGCAUUAAAAUAUGUGUCACUU